UGCCAGCCGCCGCGGUAAGACAGAGGGUGCAAGCGUUAAUCGGAAUUACUGGGCGUAAAGCGCGCGUAGGCGGAUUGGAAAGUUAGAGGUGAAAUCCCAGGGCUCAACCCUGGAACUGCCUUUAAAACUCCCAGUCUUGAGUUCGAGAGAGGUGAGUGGAAUUCCGAGUGUAGAGGUGAGAUUCGUAGAUAUUCGGAGGAACACCAGUGGCGAAGGCGGCUCACUGGCUCGAUACUGACGCUGAGGUGCGAAAGUGUGGGGAGCAAACAGGAUUAGAUA
rnacentral:rRNA from 1 species